rnacentral:tRNA from 1 species
UCCCCGGUGGCUCAGAUGGUAAAGCAUCUGCCCGCAAUGCAGGAGACCCAGGUUCGAUCCCUGGGUUGGGAA